AGGAUAGAGGCCUACCAUGGUGGUCCCACGGGUAACGGGGUGUUAGGGCACGACACCGGAGAGGGGGCCUGAGAAACGGCUACCACAUCCAAGGAUGGCAGCAGGCGCGCAAAUUACCCAAUCCCGACACGGGGAGGUAGUGACAAUAAAUAACAAUACGGGGUUCUUUCGGAUCUCGUAAUUGGAAUGAGUACAAUUUAAAUCUCUUAACGAGGAACAAUUGGAGGGCAAGUCUGGUGCCAGCAGCCGCGGUAAUUCCAGCUCCAAUAGCGUAUAUUAAAGUUGCUGCAGUUAAAAAGCUCGUAGUUGAAUUUCGGGGUUAGUAGGUUGGUCAUGCCUCUGGUAUGUACUGGUCUCACUGAUUCCUCCUUCCUGAUGAACCGUAAUGCCAUUAAUUUGGUGUUGCGGGGGAUUUGGACUGUUACUUUGAAAAAAUUAGAGUGUUUAAAGCAGGCUAACGCUUGAAUACAUUAGCAUGGAAUAAUGAAAUAGGACGUUCGAUCCUAUUUUGUUGGUUUCUAGGAUUGACGUAAUGAUUAAUAGGGAUAGUUGGGGGCAUUAGUAUUCAAUUGUCAGAGGUGAAAUUCUUGGAUUUA
rnacentral:sRNA from 1 species